AUGAUCUGAUGAUGCCACCAUGAUCUUCUUUUUCUUCUUUGCCAAAAGGAAAGGGAUCCUGGCCCGCCUUGUAUAACAUUCUUCAUAAUGACUGUUAUUAUUGCCACUAUCAAGCCUAGUUUUUGUUAUGGGACGAACAGACAUAGACAGUGAAGAAGCGGAAAAAGUGGCAACACCACCACCACCACCACCACCACUAACGCCACCAUUUCCGCCACAACUAGUAGCAAUGGCACCAGUAUCAGAUCUAAAAGAAGGCGGGGAAGAAGAAAAAGAAGGUGAAGCACGAAUCGGUAAAGGAAAAGAAGAAGAAACCAACUUGCCUAGCUUCUCUUGAAGGCAAAAAGCACAGAUCCCACCAGGGUUAUUUCUAUAAGGAUGAUUACUG
rnacentral:lncRNA from 1 species